AGUAGCUUUACAGGAAGUGUCGUUUCGUAAACAUCAAUUUAACGUUGCGUGAGGUUGCGCUAGAUCACCAUUGAAGAAAUUUACCGCCACAAUUUAUGGUGCGACGAGCCACGCGAAUUAUGCUAACGAGCGAUCAUAUGCAAUUGAGUUCGAGAGGGAUGCAUAUCGCUGAAUUUUCCCCGUCAUCUUGGGUCAUAAUUUUUUUUUCAUAACGCGUACUUAUUGCAUUUGCAUCGCUCUCGGGAGGUGGUGGCAUUUGUGCUUUUGGGCCAUCAUUUUUUUAAAGACGCGUGUAUUUGUAAUAAUAUCGGUUGAACAUUACAAUCAUUCUGCAAGUUUAUUGCACCUUUCUUUGCUGUAGUCGUAUCGUAGUCAAAAUUAAUGACUUUUCAGAUCAUCAGUGGUUAUGACAAUGGCGACUUUUAAUUUAUAAAAUAAAGUGGCAGUUUCGCGCCAAAGGCAAGGGAUUGAUUGCGAUAGCCAAUUAUAGUGGAAAGCUAUACGAAAUAAAAAUACUAGUUUUAUCGGUUUUAUAAACUUGUAAACAUACACAUACUAAAUUAACAAGUAUGGUGUCACGCGCGCACAAGCCAACAUAAACUCAUCUCACUCGAUCACCGCGGAAACUGGCUGUCAAAACGCUGGCGUGAGGAUAUGCGGCAGCAGCAGCGGGUGAAGUGACAUUCGUGCUGUCCAUCGCUUGAACGCAAUGUAAACGUCGAGAACACACAGCAGCACAAUGCUACAAGCCACCGACGCACCUAGACUCUGCCCCCAAAGCAGAUCGCUCUCAAGAUGCCGCCACGUGACCACGUGCAGCCGCCACAUGCGCAGCUGCAGCCGGAGUAGAACCAGGCCCCGCGCACUCUCGAAUUCCAGCGAUCGCCACAGAGGGCGAAAAAUCAACCGCGGCUCGUUACAGCAUCAAGCACCCUCCAAGACGCUGCUCACACUUGUUCACGCCUUUGGACUCUAUUGUCUCUUGACGGACAUGUCAACAGUGAAUCUGUCACCAGUGGCAGUAACAUCAAGGGCCAAAAUCCUCACAAGGAAGACGGACAAAAGAGAGAUUAUUGGUCUGCAAGAUGCCCACGCCAAACCAUAGGAAGCUCAGUGGUCACUAUAAUGACAACAGGUCCUCUUGACAGCUCCAGUUCAUGGAAAGGCACACGUAUUGGGAGUACAAACCUAGGGCUAAUAAGCCCCUGUUGCCGUAUCGGUCCGCCCACUCGAAGCUUGUCAAGAGGAGCAAUGCCGACUUGUGCUUUGGAAAUGCAUUAAAGAAAUCUUGCUACCAUGA